rnacentral:rRNA from 1 species
UACGAACUGUGCGAACGUUAUUCGGAUUCACUGGGCUUAAAGGGUGCGUAGGCGGCCGUUUAAGUAGGGUGUGAAAGCCCCCGGCUCAACCGGGGAAUGGCGCCCUAAACUGGACGGCUGGAGUGAGAUAGGGGUGUGUGGAACUUCCGGUGGAGCGGUGAAAUGUGUUGAUAUCGGAAGGAACGCCGGUGGCGAAAGCGACACACUGGGUCUCGACUGACGCUGAGGCACGAAAGCCAGGGUAGCGAACGGG